AAUGGACUUAGUGGGUCUUUGAAUUUAAAUAAAAUAAACAUGUAUAUGCAACACAAAAUAUUUAUAUUCCUUGUGUAAACAUAAUUUAAUUGAUUAGGAUUAAAAUGUUUUGUUUGAAUGUAAAAUGAACACAUUAUUCUCACAUUGAUUAAAAUUGAUUGAAUUGAAUACUUAAAACAAUAAAAUUGGGUUUGGACACAAAACGGCACCUCCUGAGCAGCAGGGGCAGUAUAGCUCAUUGAGAAGGACAUCGAUUGCCAUAAAAGAAGAAUAAAGAUCGUUUUUUUGGGCGCCAAAAUGAAGACUAAGCACAGCAGUCACUGCCAGUCAGUCAGAAGAACUCUCUCAGACGGACACCACGUUAUUAAAGUCCAUCAUCCUUGCAUGCGCUACACAGCAUUGAUAAAUGCUGAAUUUAAAAGAAUCACUACUGUCUAAUGUUCCUGCGUGUCACCUGGACCUCCAAUCCAAAAACCUGACGAAACUCUUCUAUCAGAAAGGAGGACAGCUAGCAAAAAGGCUUCAAACAAUCAAUGAUCAAAUGACAGAUGGCAUGGAUGAAGUCAGCAUCAGUGAGGUCAUUUGAAGACACCAAUGUUGGGAUUUGUGCUCUCAAACAACAUGCUUCUUGUGAUGAAGAAGAGGAUCUUUGUAUAGUCCUGGAAGGCAUGAAGGUGUUGCAACAUCGUGCCAUGUUGUUUGAGCUGAUGUAUGCCUUAAACCUGAGCUAUCCUGAUCUCCGCUUUAUUUUUGAGGAAAUCCAAAAGAUUUUAAUGGAACUGCAUUGAGAGUAACUUUAACGAACAGUUUCUUUCAGUGAAAGGAUCAGAAAGACUGUGCUGCUCAUUUUUGACUUUGUUUAUCUGUUUUAAGUGUUUUCUCUUAUUAAUACAUUAACCGUUUGCUGCUCAGAGUCGAUUUUGGAAAUGGUUGUUGUAUUUUGUUUUUGUUGAAUCUUUGAUUAACAGUUUAUACAAAUGCUGUAGCUCUGACUUUCUGAAGGAUUGAUAUUUUCCAGUUUGUAAAUCCAUUUUAAAAAUAAUAGUACUUACUGUUUUGCAUGUCUCUUUGGAAUGCAGUGUUUGUGUUUUAGCACUUCUAAAUCUACUGUGAUAGUAACUAUUUUAAACAUUUGGGUCAGUUUCAUCCUAAUAUAACUAGGGCCUAGUCAUGAAUUAAUCUACAACCUGUUUGGGAAAUUGCCCCUUUAUGUAUGUACUGCAUGUGCUGAUUGUUGUAAUAGUUAUUGACUGUUAUUGAAUUAAUGUGUAGUGAUUUAAAUGAAUUGAUGAUCUGAAAGCAGUGGUUUGCCUCAAUAUCACUAAACAUUUGUACAAAACUCUUCACUUUUUAUGCCAAUGCAAAUGUAUUUUGUAUUUAAAAAGAAAUAAAUAACAUUUGGAUAAUUA